rnacentral:misc_RNA from 1 species
AUUGAGUUUUGUCAUCAUAAAAAAUGGAGAGAUUAUUGGCCUCAUGAGCUCAAAGAAGCAUGAAUUUUGAUGAUAGCAAAACUUAACUAGAAUCAAACUAACUUUUCUUUAAAUGUUGUGAUAUUUCUUCUUAAGGAUUUAAAGAAAGAUUCAUGAGUUGGUGAAAUUAUGCCUUAAAGAAAGAUGACAUUCUAACGCAACUCAAGAUGAAUCAAAGACAAUAAAGAUAAAGCUACCUUCUAAGCUAUAUUGAAGAUCAAAGUGAGGGUACAUAGUUUAGAGAAUUGUUUAAGAUUCUUAAAAGUAUUUGUGAAAAGAAUUGAGUAAAGCCAAUGAAAUUAACUUUUAAUCCCUCAAAUUUUUAUCCUAAGUUUUUAUAGCUUGGUUUUAAGUUUUGAAUGGCCUAAAAGUAUUUCACUGUGAUCUGGUUUAAAGUUUUCAAUUUUUCAAACUUGAGCAGAAAAAGGUUUGUACGUUUGCUAACUGGUUUGCUACUGUUCCUGAUAUACUAACUAGUUUGCUAACAGACUCAAGUUUGCACAACAUUGCAGAAAAAGACAAAAUAACGGCUAGUUUCUUCAAAUUUGAAUUUAUAACGUUCAAAUGGGUUUUCAAAUGGUCAAAAAUGGUUUGAGACUAUCAAUACACUUAUUUUUGGCCAUUUUGCACUUAAUGAA